CACUCAGUGUCAUGAUGCCUUAUUUCUGACUUCACGGACUUUGCAAACAAGGUGAAAUAAAGAAUGAGUGGGGAAUGUGAAGAAGUGCAGAGUUAAAAUGAUGUAUUUCUCUACGUGGAGCAUUUAAGAGAUACCUCUGCCCCACUUUUUUUCAUCUGCCUAAAGACACGUGGACCAGGCUCUGUAAGGUCCAGAGGGGUGGAUAUGAACUGUUACGAAUACCUGAAUGCGGUCUUUACUUGAAGAGCUAUCUUUUCAAUGCCUGACCAGACAGGUUUUAUUUGUCUCUAUGGAUGAUGUCAUUUUCAGCUAUUGUUACCAGAAAACACAUGCUGCAUUGCCUCCAUAAAGAGCUUUUUCACUUUGAGAACAAACCCGAAGAAUGGUUUUCCGUUUCACAUAAACUAUGCUACCAUGUAGGCUUGGUUUCAUGGACAACACUAAAAUAAAUCCUGACUAAAACAGCAGCAGCACACAACCACAUGAGAGAUAAUUAUCAAAAAAAGCGAAGACUUUUCAGGCAACCUACUCGCAUCCAAAUUCGUAGUGCUACACCUAUGCCCGCAACACAUCAUGCAUUUGGUCACAUGUAACUAUCUGCAUGCAAAGGGAGUAUCUCACCUCUUCUUCAUUACACAUCCUAGGAACACCAUUUCUGUACAACUGAAGCUACAAGCCAGAAUUAUUCAACAAGAAUUAUCAUCUUUGACUAUUAACUUGAAAUUCAUGCUCUUUUAAAGGCCUUCUCUGUUACUUAAUCCAGAAGCUGAAUACCAACACGAAACCUUCUGACAUUACUUCAAAUCAUCAGGUAUUUUCUCUUCCUUCAUGACUCGGGUUUAAUGAGUAUCCUCUCUCCAUCCCUACCCACUUGAGAGUCAAAUUUUAAAAAGAAGCAGUGUUUACCAUGAGUGAAAGAUAAAACAUGUUGCAUCCCAUUUUUACAAUGCCAAAAGCCUCUACCAAUAUGAUAAAAAAAAAAAAAAAAGGCACAAAAUCUCAGCAUAAAAUAUGGCAACCUUCCAUUGGAAUAAUAGUGUUACAGCAAUUAAUCUGAAGAUGUGGCAAAGAACUGCCAUUACUAGAAUUCAAACCUCAAAGCACACUAAGGGCUACACAAAUGCCUCCAGCUGCUUGGAUGUGCUCCAUCCUACCCUUUCCCCAUCCCUCCCCUGCUCUCUCACACCAGCACUAGCUGCCUGCUCUGACAGAAAACUACCCCUCGCUCUUGCCACCCCUGCCAAAAAGGUCAGCGUGCAGCGGGAUCACCGAAGAGGAUCUCUCACUGCACGUCUGCAAAAGGGAGCAGAGGGAAGGGGGCAGCAGCAAGAGGCUGCUGAGGGCAGGAGGGGUGGGCUGCCAGUUUGCACAGGAGAAAGAGCAGCACAUUUCCAACUGUGCAGCAAGGCAAGGAAGAGAUUCCCAGGACAGAGCAGACAGGGGCGCCUACGAUGAGAAAGGUUUUGUGAUCAAAAAGCAAAUCUGAUUAAAAGCAGUAGGAAAGAGAAUUUUAAUCAAGGUAAAGCCAACAGAGCAGCAGCCUGUCUCUUGCCUUGAGUUCAAAAUAGUUUAUUAUCAUUAAUAUCACUGAUGAACGAACAUAAAAGGAUUUCUGCCCUACAAAGGAAGAGACAGGCCCAUGCAGCAGAAACUCCCAAUGUAAGAAGUGGAAACAGAGCUGUUCCUUCAGGUGAAUUGUCAAGAGACCAGCUGCGGGCAAGCAGAGGCACCACAGGGUGCCUAGAGAGCAGAGAACCUCCUAAGGGGUAAGGGGUAGCAUCCCCCACCACUGACACCACAGCUUCAGUCCACAACCCAUUUGUUAUCUGACCUCUGCUACAGAGAAAACGCAUCCCAACAAAACAAUGCCCUAGAAGAAGCACUUGAGCAACCAAGAGACCACGUGGUUCUUGGAGGGGUGAAGCCACCUCUGGCUGCUGCCCAUCCAGUUCCUGAGGUGUUGUAACAGCUCCUGGCUGCUGUGGCUCCUGUGGUGGGACUUCAUGCUCCAAAUUGUCUGCGUUAACAUGAG